GACGAACGCUGGCGGCGUGCUUAAUACAUGCAAGUCGAGCGAGGUUACUGUUUUGGAUCCCUUCGGGGUGAAGAAGCUUUAACCUAGCGGCGGACGGGUGGGUAACGCGUGGGUAACCUACCCCAAAGUCCGGGAUAACAGCGGGAAACCGCUGCUAAUACCGGAUGCCUUUACCUUGGGGCAUCUUGAGGUAAAGAAAGGCAACGCUUUGGGAUGGGCCCGCGUCCCAUUAGCUAGUUGGUGAGGUAACGGCUCACCAAGGCGACGAUGGGUAGCCGGCCUGAGAGGGUGGACGGCCACACUGGGACUGAGACACGGCCCAGACUCCUACGGGAGGCAGCAGUAGGGAAUAUUGCGCAAUGGACGGAAGUCUGACGCAGCGACGCCGCGUGAGCGAUGAAGGUCUUCGGAUCGUAAAGCUCUGUCCUUGGGGAAGAAGGCGAAAGCUUGACGGUACCCAAGAAGAAAGCCCCGGCUAACUACGUG
rnacentral:rRNA from 1 species